UUGAUUUUUUUAAAAACCUUAUACAUUAUUAACACCCUUCAUGCUUCAUCAAUUUACUGAGGUGGAUUCUACCCCCUCCUCCUCUUUCUCUUCCAAUUUCAAUGAGACAAAAUCCAAUAAACAUUGUGUUUGUUCCUGGCAUCUACGAUUGUUUUAAUCCAACAUAUUAACAGCCAGUGCCACAUAUGAAAUUCAACAGGGAGCCCCUUCAAGCUCACAAUAAGAGGAAGAGUGAGUAAGAGGAAAAUCAAGCAUCGAGCGCCCUGCCCAUCUAAGUCACUCAUAAAAGAACCCCAUGGUGUGGGCUUGAGAGGUCGAACAGACAGCGCUAGUGUGGCUAACUGGGGUGCGGGGGGAAAAAAAGCACAAGAGUUUUCAUAUCCGCUCAGAUUUACGGUACUUGGAAGAAGGGUGAAAUAACGACAGUGUUGUCAAGGAAACAAGUGCCACGGCAACACCUUAAUCUGGAGAAAUAUAAUUGGAAAAGGAGUGAUAAACAUCUUCCUAUCUGAGUGUGUGAUGUAGUGAACGGUAUUCGAAAAGGAAGCCGCCUGAGCACUCAUUACUGGAGUUAUUGUAAGAAUAACACUAAUGAAUGCAUAUGGAAAGGCGUCCUCGGGGGCUAAAAGAAGGAACUCUGAUGUUGAAACAGCCUUAAAGGGCUUUCUUCCAGGAUAAAGUCACGACCCAUCCUACUCCACCCACAAACACCGUAGAGAGGAAGACUCGCUCUCUAGUGGAAGGCAAUGCAUAUAAAUGGAGCUUCUCCUUUAAAGAGGCGGUAAGGAAGAAGAUCACCUUUGAUAUCAAAGCUCAGUUGGACAACAAAGCAGGCCUUUAAAGCACAGAGCUGCUUUCUUCACGUGCCUGUGUGCAAAGGUGGAAAUCUGGGCAGAGUGGAAGAUGAAGUAAUGGGAGAGGGAUGGAUAGAAGGAUGGACAGAGGGAUGGAUAGAGGGAUGGAUAGAUGAAGAGGAAUGACAAAGGGGAGGGAGAUCAUACGCUAUACCUGCAGCCCUUAUGGGUGUGCAGGUAUAGCAUACGGGGGGUGGGGAGGCAAAGAAGUGUGGCGGGAAGAGGAAGGCUGGAUGGUGAGAUGGGGGGAUGACUGGAUGGAUAGAUGGAAGUGGAGAGGAGAGGAGAGGAGCGAGAAUGCUUCAGUAGCUCCACUUGACAGCUGAGUGAGAGGGGAAGCGGAGUGGCUACUCUAUGUAAUUUGUUAGCGGGUCCAUGAUGCAUGCAGGCAUGAUACCACACCAUGCCUGGCGAACACAGCACAGACUAGAGAGAGAGGGAGAGCGAGACCGACAGACAGCAGAGAGGAAGGAGGGAGGAAAGGGUUUGACAGAUCAGGGUACAUCAAGGAAAAGAUCAGGUGUGGAAAGAAGAGGGGCUAAAUAUGGAGAACUGCACCCAGCCUCAGUGUUUUCAACCUCUGUCAGCUGGGUGAGACUGACCGGCAUCCCUGUCUUCUGUCUAAGGCAGGGUUUGCUUUUGCAUAACGGCAUCUCUAUCUUUGCAACAAUGUUUGAAAUCAUUGUCUCUGCGCUAUCUCAGCAGCAGCUCCUUCUCCCGUGUUGCAACGCAGGUGCAUCUCAUCUCUGCACGAGCCGCUCCGGAUGCUUCGCAGACACAAUUUUCCUGGGCUUAUCUGUGACUCUGAAUAAAAUGACACAAAUCUGGGCAUCAGCCCACUAAUAAUGACGCCACGUUGAUGUGGGACCUAUUUUGUGUGUGUUUGUGUGUGCGCGCGCAUCAGAGUGUGUUUACGGCUUGUUGACGUGGGACUGAUCCAGGAUGCCAUGGCAGCUGUCUGCUAUAAUUACCUGGGAGCACGAUCACACAUAGGCAAAUGCACCCAUACGCACACACACACAGGUAUAUCUCUGCUGAUUACCUCAUAAGGCGAGGUUUGUCUGAUUAGCUUCCAUAUUUACACCAAAGACUUGUUAUUAAUGAACAUGUGCUCUGCGUUUCGCUCCACUAUACUUUGUUACUCUGAACAUUUGGAAGGCAAUCUUUGACAAUGUUUGAGGAGCAUCACUGAUUAGACUACAAAGACCUGUUUUGAUUGAGAAAAACUGUUUGCUGCAUGUUUAUCAUUUUCAAUUUGAGUAUGAGGCUUUAUGGCUGUUUGUCACACAGGAAAAUGGGGAGUGAACGGAGGGCGCCCGGCAUGCCACCGCAGACACCUCGGAGGAACACUGACAUUAGCAGACAUUAUUUCUGGGGGGCAUGUCUACGAGACUGAAUGGCUCCAUCAAGCGAACACGGUCUGCAGUCUGACACACGGACACACGAACACAAGGUGCAAUCCCACCCACGGUUCCUAGCCCACACCUUUUUUCUGCCCGAUAUUUGCAUAAUGAAAUGCACUGUUAUUUAUGUGUCAUCAGAGAUUGCAGGACCUGAAAAUGAAGUGCUCGUUAGCUGCGUAGAUCUCUAAAUAGAUCAUCAGGUGCCCACUAUAAUGGCUGGCAUACUACAAUGAAGCCUUUUUUCCAUUCACCUCCCUUGAAUUCUAUCCAUUUGGGAGGGAAAAAAAACAUCACAUUGUGCUGAUACACAUGCAUUUAAUAGUACUGCAGCACCAUUUGUUUCAUAAGAGAAUGACAAAGAAUGACGCAGUUCCGGGAUACAGAUUGGAAAAAUUUACAUUAAAAGAAGAGACGGGAGGUGGACGAAUUCAGGGAACAAAGGAGUUCUUAAAAGGAAAAAAAGAGGGCAAAGUGCAACAGAGCAAGACGGAAAGGAGCUGAGCGGCGUAAAAUGUUGCCCGGGGGGGUGGCAUGGGGGGACGGUGGCUAGCAAGGCAGAGGUGAUGGGGCUGCUCUGUUUUCUCCAGUCAUGCCUGUCCACGUUCCCUGGAAAGCCUGUUUUCCAAAUCACAGUGGGGUCAGGUGUGGAAUGCAAAUGGCAGGCUGCCGCUACCUGCGUGUACACCGAGACCUCGAG